CAGAAGUUUUGGCUUGUAGCCCAGUAUCCCAGAGACCAGUGCCGGGUAUUCAGACGGUGCAAUGAUCUUCGACACGGAGGACUUCAGAUUCCCGCGUCAGAUGUGACGGCAACCACCACUAAGAGGGUAGUCACAACCAACUGUAGCCAAACUUGCCAACUGAGUGGUUCAGAUAAUUCACAGACUGCAGGAAUUCCUCUACUUGCAGGUUGAUUGUCUUGCCCAUUGUUUAGCUACUGAUUUGAACAACAAGGAGGAGGGGUGAACACAAACAGGAUGUGUCAAAGGAAUAGACAACUAAUAAGUAAAGUAAACAACAAAAAAGAUACAUUUUAUGAAGAAAUUGGUAAUCAAUAUAAAAGGCUGAAAUAACCAUGUUA
rnacentral:lncRNA from 1 species